rnacentral:lncRNA from 1 species
GGUUUGGCAGACACCGGAGGUGAUCGACCAUUGUAGAAAUCCAGUUACUGAAGCCCGUCUGUUGUAGAAGCUCGUCCAGAAUCUAUCCGCUAUGGAAGUUCGGACAGAGUCCGGUUCUUACAGAAGGCUGGAAGGAGGCCGCUUGUUGUAGAAGCUCGGUCGAAGAUCAGUUGUCGUGGAAGCUCAGAGUAGUGAUCUGGUCAGUGGAGCCUGUCCCAUUGUAGAAGCUCAUCUGGGAUCCGGAGUAGAUAUUCGAAGUAGACUGCCUGCAGUAGGAGUUCGGAGUAGACUGCUUGCUGUAGAAGUUUGGCUCUCGCAGGAGCUCGGAUGGAAUUCGAAAGGCGGUCGACCAUCGUAGAAGCUUGGAUGGAGUCUGAUUACUAUAGAAAUCUUGUUGUCGGAGAAGCUCGGAUAUUGACAAAGUCUGGAAGAAGUUUGGAGUAGGGUCGUCAGUGGCCAGAAGAAGUCUGGAAGGGAUUCGGAGAAUAGUGGAUCACUGUAGAAGAUCGGCUGAUAGUGAAGCCCAGAGAGCCUUUGGAGCGGCUCGAUAGAUGAAUGGAGAAGCUCAUUGUCGGAGAAGUCCGGAUGGUAUUAUGGAAGCUCGGACGGUCGAGGGGGUUCAGAAAGAUGCCACACA